GGAGCAUAAAGCUGGGGGGUGGGAGAUGGAAAGUAGGGGAUGGGGGAGCAAAAUUUUGGGGGUGGGGAUCCUGAAAAGGGUGCAGAAGGCUGAAAUUUGGACCCCAGAAGCAGAAGCCUGAAAUUGGGAGCUCUAAACUGGAACCAGGACCCCCCCUCACACCCCCAGUCGGCACCAGGAAUGGGGACCCUAAAAUCAACGCCACGACCUUGAGGCUGGGACCCCAAAACUGAAGGCGGGAUCCCAAAAACAGCAACAGGAUCUUGGGAUUGGAUCCCAAAACUGGAAUUGGGACCUUGGAAUUGAGACCCCAAAAACAGCACCGGGACCCCAGAACUGGGAUCCCCCCAAAUCUGCCCUGGGAUCCCAAAACCGGCACCGGGAUCUUGGAAUUGGACCCCAAAAUCAGCACAAUCUGAGACCAGGACCUUGAAACCGAAACCCCAAAAUCUACCCUGAGAUCCCAAAAGCAGCCCUGUGAUGAUGUAAUCAGCAUCAACGACCCCAAAUUCCUGCACUUGGACUCCAAACCCAACGCCAAGACCCCAAAAAUCAGCAUUGGAGACCCCAAAUUCCAGCUCUGAGACCCCAAAUUUCAGCACUUGAACCCAAAAAUCAGCAUCAGAGACCCUAAAUUCCAGCACCGGGACCCCAAAUAUCAGCAUCAGAGACCCUAAAUUCCAGCACCGGGACCCCAAAUUUCGGCACUCAGACCCAAGAAUCAGUAUUGGAGACCCGAAAUUCCAGCACUGGGACCCCAAAUAUCAGCAUUGGAGACCCUAAAUUCCAGCACUGGGACCUAAAAUCAGCAUUGGAGACCCCAAAUUCCAGCACUGGGACCCUGAAUUCCUGCACUUGAACCCAAAAAUUGGCAUCGGAGACCCCAAAUUCCGGCACUGGGACCCCAAAUUCCAGCACUCGGACCCCAAACCCAGGACCCAGGUUCCAUGGCUGAGGGGUGUGCCCUCCCUGGGGAGGUGACAGAGGGGGACAGCGGUGUCCCCAAAGGGGACAUUGAUGUCCCCGAGGUCACCGUCACUCCUUGGGCCAGCGGCAUCACCAUCACCGUCACGGUGGCACCGGCGGAUGAGGACAUCGGGGACAUUUGGGACAUUGGAGACGUUGGGGACAUUGGGGACAGGGAUGAUGCCCCAAACGUCGCUGCUGAGGACAUUGGGGGUGGGGACGCGGAGCUUGGGGACAUCCCCGUUCCGUGUGACAAAGAGGGCGGGGACAGAGAUGUCCCAACCUUGAAGGAUGUCGGGGAUGGGGAUGGUGGCAUCGGUGUCGCAGCCCUAAGGGACACUGAGAUGACAGAGGGGGUGACACUAAAAGAUGCUGGGGACAGGGGUGUCCCAACCCUUGGGGACAUGGGGGACAGGGAUGUCCCAGUCUAUGAGGACAAGGAUGUCCAUGGGGACAAGAGUGAUGGGGACAGGGAUGUCAUCGGUGUGUGGGACGAUGGGGACAAGGGCUUUGGGGACAGGAAUGUCACCAGCCUAAGGGACAGGGUUUGGGAUGUCCCCGUUCCCAGUCUGGAGAAGGACACUGGGAAUGGGGAUGUGCUGGCUCCUGGAGAUAAGGACACUGGGGACAUUCCAACCCUAAGGGACGUUGGGGACAUCCCAACCCUAAGGGACGUUGGGGACAAGGAUGUCACAGCCCCUAAGGACGAGGACACCAAGGAAAAACGUGUCCCAACCAUGGGGGAUGAGGACCUUGGGGACAAGGAUGGUGGGGACAAGGACACCCCAUCCCUCAUGAGCUUUGGGGACAUUGGGGACAAGGACAUUGGGGACAAGGAGGUCCCAACCUUCAUGAGCUUUGGGGACGUUGGGGACAAGGACACUGGGGACAAGGACGUUGGAGAGAAGGAUGUCCCAUCCCCUAUAGGCUUUGGGGACAAGGA
rnacentral:lncRNA from 1 species